rnacentral:rRNA from 1 species
AUUGAACGCUGGCGGCAUGCCUUACACAUGCAAGUCGAACGGCAGCACGGGAGCAAUCCUGGUGGCGAGUGGCGAACGGGUGAGUAAUGUAUCGGAACGUACCUUUCAGUGGGGGAUAACGUAGCGAAAGUUACGCUAAUACCGCAUAUUCUGUGAGCAGGAAAGCAGGGGAUCGCAAGACCUUGCGCUGAUUGAGCGGCCGAUAUCAGAUUAGCUAGUUGGUGAGGUAAAGGCUCACCAAGGCGACGAUCUGUAGCGGGUCUGAGAGGAUGAUCCGCCACACUGGAACUGAGACACGGUCCAGACUCCUACGGGAGGCAGCAGUGGGGAAUUUUGGACAAUGGGCGCAAGCCUGAUCCAGCCAUGCCGCGUGAGUGGAGAAGGCCUCG